GCCACUUGUUGGCUUUUUGGCUAAGACCAAGUCUACUAUCUGUUCUCACCAGUUUAAUAUCUGAUCCAUCCUCUGACUGAACACUUCUUCUUCUUCUAGCGUUU
rnacentral:snRNA from 1 species